AACGCGAAGAACCUUACCAAAUCUUGACAUCUGACUGACCGGUCCUUAACCGGACCUUUCCUUCGGGACAGUCAAGACAGGUGGUGCAUGGUUGUCAUCAGCUCGUGUCGUGAGGUGUUGGGUUAAGUCCCGCAACGAGCGCAACCCCUAUUAUUAGUAGCCAGCGGUUCGGCCGGGCACUCUAAUGAGACUGCCGGGGAUAACCCGGAGGAAGGUGGGGAUGACGUCAAAUCAUCAUGCCCCUUACGAUUUGGGCUACACACGUGCUACAAUGGCGUAAACAAAGGGAAGCGACAGGGCGACCUAGAGCAAAUCCCAAAAACAACGUCUCAGUUCGGAUUGUAGUCUGCAACUCGACUACAUGAAGCUGGAAUCGCUAGUAAUCGUGAAUCAGAAUGUCACGGUGAAUACGUUCCCGGGUCUUGUACACACCGCCCGU
rnacentral:rRNA from 1 species